rnacentral:misc_RNA from 1 species
AAGUCGUAACAAGGUUUCCGUAGGUGAACCUGCGGAAGGAUCAUUAUUACGUUAUCCAACGUCAAACCCAAUUGUGAAACUGUGACCAGAAUGUUAAAGGAUUGAGGACAAGGUGUUCAUGACUCUAAGUGCCUUCACGGGUGCUAGGGCCUUGUCUUACCUGAUUGAGUUCAGGUCAACUUUUAACUUCUGUUUAAAUGAAAUUCCUGUCAUGAACAAUUUUAAUUUUCAAUUUACAAACCCCAAGUACAAAAUUGAACUAAACAUUCUGUCUCAGACUUUGUCUGUGACUGAACAACCGAAAUUAAGAAAACAACUCUUAACAACGGAUAUCUUGGUUCUC